AAACGUGAGGGAGAGAGGAAACGUGAAGUAUACUCAUUUUAUUUUCCUUUUCCUUUUUUAUUAAUAAUUCCUAUUGUAUAUUAUUUAAAAAAAAUAUUUAUUAGAUAAUAUUUUAAUUUAGAAAAAUAUAAUAAUAAGAUAAAUAUCUAAUUUUGAAUACUAGAACAAAAUAAAAGGACUGAUUAUAAAUAGAAGUCGGACAAAAAUUU
rnacentral:lncRNA from 1 species